rnacentral:tRNA from 1 species
GCCUGGGUGGCUUAGUUGGUUGAGCAUCUGACUUUGGCUCAGGUCAUGAUCUCACAGUUUGUGGGUUCCAGCCCCAUGUCAGGGU